AGUGAACGCUGGCGGUAGGCCUAACACAUGCAAGUCGAACGGCAGCACAGGAGAGCUUGCUCUCUGGGUGGCGAGUGGCGGACGGGUGAGGAAUACAUCGGAAUCUACUUUUUCGUGGGGGAUAACGUAGGGAAACUUACGCUAAUACCGCAUACGACCUACGGGUGAAAGCAGGGGACCUUCGGGCCUUGCGCGAUUGAAUGAGCCGAUGUCGGAUUAGCUAGUUGGUGGGGUAAAGGCCCACCAAGGCGACGAUCCGUAGCUGGUCUGAGAGGAUGAUCAGCCACACUGGGACUGAGACACGGUCCAGACGCCUACGGGAGGCAGCAGUGGGGAAUAUUGGACAAUGGGCGCAAGCCUGAUCCAGCCAUACCGCGUGGGUGAAGAAGGCCUUCGGGUUGUAAAGCCCUUUUGUUGGGAAAGAAAUCCAGCUGGCUAAUACCCGGUUGGGAUGACGGUACCCAAAGAAUAAGCACCGGCUAACUUCGUGCCAGCCGCCGCCGUAA
rnacentral:rRNA from 1 species